GAUGAACGCUGGCGGCGUGCCUAAUACAUGCAAGUCGAGCGAACAGAUAAGGAGCUUGCUCCUUUGACGUUAGCGGCGGACGGGUGAGUAACACGUGGGUAACCUACCUAUAAGACUGGGAUAACUUCGGGAAACCGGAGCUAAUACCGGAUAAUAUUACGAACCGCAUGGUUCGAUAGUGAAAGAUGGUUUUGCUAUCACUUAUAGAUGGACCCGCGCCGUAUUAGCUAGUUGGUAAGGUAACGGCUUACCAAGGCGACGAUACGUAGCCGACCUGAGAGGGUGAUCGGCCACACUGGAACUGAGACACGGUCCAGACUCCUACGGGAGGCAGCAGUAGGGAAUCUUCCGCAAUGGGCGAAAGCCUGACGGAGCAACGCCGCGUGAGUGAUGAAGGUCUUCGGAUCGUAAAACUCUGUUAUUAGGGAAGAACAUACGUGUAAGUAACUGUGCACGUCUUGACGGUACCUAAUCAGAAAGCCACGGCUAACUACGUG
rnacentral:rRNA from 1 species